AAGAGACAUAAGGAUCAAAUCAUUCAGUUAUUACGUCAACAUUAGCCUUUCGGUUAUCAAUAAUAUUUCUUAAAAUCUUAAUAAAUUAAUAAUUAGUGAUAAAAUAGCCUUCUCAUUUUUACAAAAAGAGUUUGAAAUUAGAGCUCAAUGCCUGCUUGCAUUGCAUUCAAUUGUACUUCAAGAACACCGGCUUUUUCUAGAUCCCCAGAGCACGAUCUUGCGAGUAAAUUGUUGAAAAAAAUGUGAACUCAACCACAAUAAUGUGAAAAUGAGCUUUUCCCCCUACGUAUUUGCAUUGCUUUAUAAAACAAUCACAUGUUUUGCCUUUGGUAUCCUUUUGUCCUAAAAAUCCAGUGCUUCUAAAGCCGUCGCCAAGAUCGGAAACAAACCAAAUGGUCAAGGAUAUGUUUUAAGCACUUCAAGGACUCUGACAUCAUCAAUCACAAAGUUAAGUGCACGUUUGUUGAUGGAGCAGUACCCUCAAUUUUCGACUUUCCAAUACACUUAAAAUAAGUAUAGUCUCAUGGACGAAUCUUCAAGCGAAGAACUUAUGAAGAAUACAGUAAUAAAAAAAUGAAUUCUGAUGACAUGAUUGAAAAAAGGCCAACUGUAAAUAUAGUCAUCACUCAUACAUCUUCCCUACUUAGUACUAUGGAAUCCUUGGUGUGGUGAAAAAAAUAGAGCAAAGAGGUUGUUUGGAGCCAUGAAACUUUCACGUUCGAAUCGGAAAGUAAUUAUGAGUUCUAUUAAUAAUCAAAAUUUUAAUACUAAAAUAUAAACAUUUUUCAAAUAAAAUAGAUACUUAGGAUGAUUGUUUCGCUUUAUGCAUGACAUAUAAGAUUCAAUAAAUAUUUCGAAGAAUUCCUAA
rnacentral:lncRNA from 1 species